UCCCAUUUGAGGCACUACUUCAGACUUGA
rnacentral:piRNA from 1 species